CAGUCACGUGACUUAGUUUUGCGGUUUUGGCGAUCAAUAAUAGUUUUUUUCUUUACUGUGAGUUGCGUAAUAUCAAGGCAAUACUCGAGAAACACAGUGAGCAUUGACUCGUGGUUUUCACUCCGCAUAAGUCGGUGUCAUACGUUCUGCGGAAAACCAAUCGAUUUGUCCGUAUAAAUAAAAUCAGUGAUCGGGGCAGCUUACCUGUGGGACCAAGAGCAUCAUAAGAGGCCAGUUCUGUUACAUGUGAUAACGAAAGUUCUUCUGGAUUAGGUCCCCCUCCACCUGGGGUAUCUGAAGAGUACCCGGACGAGAUGCUAGAGUUGCUUGGCCAAGAUCGAAGCUUGUUCGGAGGGUCUCCACCCCAUUCGUCUUCUAAUUGUAGAUCUUUUUUGAACACAUCAUCGAAGUCCAGCACAGGCAAAAGUGGGUCACAAUUCAAUGGAGAUUGAUUGAUUUCUUUUCGUGGUAUAACAUCAUUCCCACUGGAGUAAGGGAUCUCAGUUAAAAGAUUCAAAUUGUUGUUAUUUUGAUUUGUAUUAGGAGAAUGGUUAUGCCCAGUCGCGGACAGAUCUUGGUCAAAUGGUGUAAACGCUGCAAUGAUUAGGGCUGCUAUUUCGGCGUUCGCUACAUCUUCGAAGGACUGUCUAUCAUCCAAUGUCGAAGUAGCUCCAGUAUUAUCAUCACUGAUAUCCAGUAGAGGUAACGUGCUACCAACAUUUGGGCUUGUGUUAGGAACCACUGAUAACAUGUUGAACGGUGAUGGAAACGACUGAAAAAACAGAAUGGAUGGUGAACAGUACACAUAUUGUAUGUACCUAAUGCCUGUGAGCGACUGAUAAAGAUCUAUUACCUAUUUAAUGCAAGAAUGCAAAAGUCGGAACUAAGAUAAACUGGCAAUGUUGGACAUGUCAAUAUGGUCAUAGAGUAGUACUAUAACUAGCUAUACCUAGCUGUAACUGAAUCAGUUAUUGACUAGCUAGACAGAUUGGUUCUCAUUUUAGUUACAUCAUCAACUUAUUUGCAUGUACAGUGAUGACCAUGUAUCUAUUAAAGUCGGUCGGUCGGUCAACUCGCUCUAUCAAACUACAA